UUUAAUGAUGAAUCAUUACAACAUUAUCACGACGGUCAACAUAAGGAAUUUAUAUUGAUGACCAUCGCCUGUGACAAGGCAUUGAUCUGAAA
rnacentral:snoRNA from 1 species